AGAGUUUGAUCCUGGCUCAGGACGAACGCUGGCGGCGUGCUUAACACAUGCAAGUCGAACGAGGUCCAUCCGGUGGCAACACCGGAGAAGACUUAGUGGCGAACGGGUGAGUAACACGUGAGCAACCUGCCCCGAAGACUGGGAUAACAGCGGGAAACCGCUGCUAAUACCGGAUACCCCCACCGGGUCACAUGGCCCAAUGAGGAAAUGGAUUCCGCUUCGGGAGGGGCUCGCGGCCUAUCAGCUUGUUGGUGGGGUAACGGCCUACCAAGGCGACGACGGGUAGCUGGUCUGAGAGGACGAUCAGCCACACUGGGACUGAGACACGGCCCAGACUCCUACGGGAGGCAGCAGUGGGGAAUCUUGCGCAAUGGGCGAAAGCCUGACGCAGCAACGCCGCGUGAGGGAUGAAGGCCUUCGGGUUGUAAACCUCUUUCGAGCAGGGACGAUAAUGACGGUACCUGCAGAAGAAGCUCCGGCCAACUACGUGCCAGCAGCCGCGGUAAUACGUAGGGAGCGAGCGUUGUCCGGAUUCAUUGGGCGUAAAGAGCUCGUAGGCGGCUUGAUAAGUCGGAUGUGAAACCUCCAGGCUCAACCUGGAGUCGCCAUCCGAUACUGUCAUGGCUAGAGUCCGGUAGGGGCCCACGGAACUCCUGGUGUAGCGGUGAAAUGCGCAGAUAUCAGGAAGAACACCGGUGGCGAAGGCGGUGGGCUGGGCCGGCACUGACGCUGAGGAGCGAAAGCGUGGGGAGCGAACAGGAUUAGAUACCCCAGUAGUCC
rnacentral:rRNA from 1 species